rnacentral:tRNA from 1 species
AAUGAAGUAGUGUGUUGGGCACAUAGGUUUUUGGCACCUAAGGAAGCUUAUCAUUGAGGCUUUUCAUUA